rnacentral:rRNA from 1 species
UACGGAGGGUGCGAGCGUUGUCCGGAAUCACUGGGCGUAAAGGGCGCGUAGGCGGCCUGAUAAGUAGGGGGUGAAAUCCUGCGGCUUAACCGCAGGGCUGCCUUCUAAACUGUCAGGCUAGAGCACAGUAGAGGCAGGUGGAAUUCCGGGUGUAGCGGUGGAAUGCGUAGAGAUCCGGAAGAACACCGGUGGCGAAGGCGGCCUGCUGGGCAGUAGCUGACGCUGAUGCGCGACAGCGUGGGGAGCAAACAGG